CAAUACCAGGAAUUUGCUGACAACAGGUUCUGCGCUUAUGCCGUGGGUGUAACAGCGCCUUUCCCGUACCCUUUGGCGCGGCCGGCGGCCGGGCGCGGCGUUAGGACCGUGCAGCCCUGCAGCGCUGCCCCCCGAAGGAGGGCCGGGAGCAGAGGACUGACCCCCAAGAAAAGCGUUAAAUUCUGGAAGUGGCUCCCGUGAAACCAUCGGUCCACACUUUUCAGCCCAGACUAAAACUACAACUUGCUCCUUGUUUCAUUCUUCUUUCGCUUCCGUCACGCUCCCCCUUGUCUGCUUGGAAGUGAAUUUGGUGUCAGACGCUUCCCUGAGUGGGCCCCUCAGGCCCACCACAGGGACACCAACUCCUGUUUGCAGGUUCCCUGCUCAAAACCCGCAUAGGUUUAAGAGCUAAAAAAAGCUUACAAGCAAUGUUUUUCUUCCCACACAAAUGCUUCUGAUACCCUGAAAGUACCUGUUAUUUCCUGAAGUGAGUGUAGCUGUGUGACCGUAAUGCUUCAGGUUAGGCAGGCAGCUGAAGUCAGACCUCCUGCACCGCGUGUAAGAAACAAGGGAUAAACAAAGGGAUAUUAUGUCCCACAUCUGAAAAUCAGCUUCACAGAAAAUAUGCACUAAAUGAUACAUGAUAAUGGGGAAGGAAAUGCCAGCUGCCUUAAUGAACGGUGGUAGGCAAAUCUGGAAAAGUAAAUUAUAUAAUAAUCUCUUAUUAUAUUCCCUUUGACAUAAACUAAUCUUGACCCAGAACAAUAGUGCUACUUUCCAAGAGAAAAUAACUGAGAUGCAGCUAUAAUCAUGAUACGGGAGUCCAAUGCAAAGUGGUUUGUAUUUUCUCUUUGUUGUUAAAAUUUUGCUUCAUCUGGUAAAUUUUGUGGCGAAGACGGGAACAGGGUGAGCAACUUCCAGCUGAGGCAGAAAGAAACGCCAGUGGCUGCCUCUUGGUGGCUGGGAAGGAGCUGCUGAACUGCAACUCAACGUGCGGGCUUUCUGAAGACCCAAGGAGCACGUGCAAUGCUCUGGAAGAGCGGGAGGGUACCUGUGUUUCGCUCCAGCUCCCAACGCACGCAACAGCCCGGGGUGCAGCUGGGCGCUUCUGGGCUGGUGGGCGCUUUCGUCCAUUCAUCAGGGAUGACUCAAGGGUUAGGGCUGUGUCUCUGCUGCGAGGAUGCUUCUGUUGGGUUUCCGAGACGGUUGCUCUGCUUUUGUGUUGCUCAGCUCUGUGACGGGGAUGAAUAAAAAAAGCCAAAUGGAAA